rnacentral:lncRNA from 1 species
UUUCCUUACACAUAGGUUCUUAAAAGGAAAGACUUUGCUUUCCUCUCUUUGCCAUCUUCCCCACUUAUCUCAAGAUAGUGAUGAAGAUUCAAGGGCAAAACACAAGGAAAAGAACCGUUAAUCCCUUGUUGAAUGUCUAAAAGCUAUCACAAUUUGAUUAAAAUAAAUAGUUGUAUUAAAUCAGUAAAUCUGUUUCUGAGUUGUCCGAGGUUGAAUUAACCAGGUGGGAAAAAAGAAGAUGCUGAGUCCUGCUCUGAGAAAUCGGAAGAGGAAACUGAUCGUACUUCAACGGGGACAAUAUGAGCAUCAGAGUUUAUGAAAGGAAGAGCCAGGGAAAGGAAAAAGAUCCCAUUCACUAAUGCUUUAACAACUGAAAGGCCCACCCACAAGCUUCACGUCUUUUCUCUCAAAUCUCUUCCUUCAGGUAUGGAUCAUCCUUUGUGGUUGAUGUUUAGAGAUGUGAUAUGAAACUGAAGACAAACGGUCCAAUAUGUACCUGAAAUCUUUCUAAUGCAAUAUUUAUUAACUUUUUUCAUAACUAAAAUAUUUUGCUAUUUAUUUAAUCUCUCUCUUACAGAAUGUGCUAUAUUCUAUUAACAGGAAUUUUAAG